ACGCGCUGAAACGCCCAAAAGAUCUAAAGACAUUUUUACACUCGUCCUUCCAGAUAUUCAAGAUUCAACAGUGGAAUAAUUGUGCUCGUAAAGGCUCCUUGCAUAGUGAUAUUGUAGUGAAUAGUGGAUUGCAAGUAUGUUAAUUUGAUCAAAAAGGAAGGCCUCGUGAUCCAGUAACAAUGGAGUGGAAAAUGAGAGCUUAUACAAAUGCGGAAUCGCGAGUUUAAUCACACCAUUUAACACCAGAAGCGGGCCACCAUGGCGCAUCCUUUUCCAGUACAACAACAACUUUGAGUGUCGGUUUCGCUCAAUUGGCAAAAGCCCUGUUAGGUAUGACGCAGCCAAGUUCCAGACGACCGGUUCAGUUUUGAACUGAUGAAUUUUUGCCAGAGUUUGAUCCAACGUGAAGUAAAUUUCCUGCAAACAAUUGGUCAGAAAAGAUGGUACGAUGAGCUAGCAAAUCCUCCGUCAGCUUGGCAAGUCUCUUCGCGAUUGCUUAUUAAACAAUCGAUGGCAAGUAAAUUGUUUUGUUUUCAAAAAUAUAUUCCUGGAAAUAUGUUUUAUGAAAGUAGAAAAAUAGAAAGGAAACAAAAUCAGAUCUACCAGGAGACGAAUUAUUAGAUUUCGCACCACCAUCCUGGCACCUCGAUAUAAAUAACUUGUUAAAAAUAUGUAUUUAGUACAUCAGGCAGCAAAAUUAAAGAUUCGAAAGUUUUAAAAUUAUUUAUGCAGCGAGAAUAUGCAAGUAACAAGCACAGUGAUCAGGAGAAAUCCAAUAGUUGUCGUGGUUGCGGCAAGGCGAGACACUUGAGGUGAAACUACCUCGAACGGUUAAAAUAUGGCAGGAAGGAAGGAAAUAAGGAAAAAAGAUGGAAAUAGAGUAGCUUGCGGAUGCUGUCAUAAAAGCGAUCGUACGGAAGAGCGCCAGGGGGAUGCGUGCACUGCACUAGCAACGGUUUAAAGCUUUCUGCAAGGGACAAGAUAUUAAGCACACAUUGAAUGGAGUGCAGCGAAUAAAUAGUUUACCCUAGUUGACACGUGUGCAUGAGAUUCUAAUGUCAAGAGAGUGAAAAAUGCGACAAACGGUUCUGUGGAUCAUACAGCACAACGAAGUUCCGCGCAAAUGCUUGUAUACGGUUUGUCAAUAAAUAUCGACAAUACAUAUAGAUCCUUUUAGUCGAGAAGCUUAAAAUAUUGACAAUUAAAGGGAAAUUCGGCGCGGGAAAUUCAGAAUGCUCGCUGCAUUGCUUGAAAGUUUAAAAUGUCAACCUAUAAUUUGGAAGAUGUAAUCACGGCGGCUAGAAAUCCAGCGGUAACAGGACGAAGCAGAAACUGUUGGUCAAGGCGAAAGAAAAUUCGGGAGAUGCCCGAGGGCAAAAGAGUGUUGGCGGCGGUGGAUGGCAUCCAAAAGAAGAAUAAUUAGUAUGUACAGGGUGAUUAUAAAGUCACGACUGGAAGCUGAGAAGUGAGGAGCUCAUCUCCCGAACCAGUCGGGGAAAUGACUCAACUGCGAGCGGGUUCGAUUGUGAGCUGAUCCAAGAUGUCAUAACGAAUCUGGACUCUUGACCCAAGGUCUGGUAGUAAGCAUAGUCGAGGGCGAUCUAACUUUCAGGAAGGCCGAGUGUAAGGCCAUGGGCAUUCCAGCGCAUUAUAAUUAAUGAGCAGGAUAUUAUACAAGAGUGACAGAGGGCGACGACAGAGUCUGCGCCAUCUACGAGUCGAAGAGGCGCUUGCAUUUUGCAGCAGGGCCAAUCCUUACCGAAACGUUCAAUACGUCGAUUUGUAGUCCGACCAACUGAGCGCCUCAUUGUAUACAUAUACAUGUUAUUACAUUACUACGAUUAAUCAACUUGUAUUAAAAUUAAAUACACGGUAAGGUGUUAAUAUUAUUGCCAGAAUAUCUUCUUUAUCGCACUUGUAGCUUGACAACGAAAUGAAGAUAACGAGUUCUUUAAAUAACAAAACUACUUCAUAACGUAUGACAACUAACAGAAACCAACUUUUUUAUUACAUAUUAAUUUUUUUAUUUUAAAGCCACAUUUCAUCACGUAAUAAUAGUUCGCGACAAUAAAAUCAUACUGAAUUUUGUAAUCAAAGUAUUUUCUAUUAAGGGUAAGCAAGAAUCCACGUAUUUUCGAAAGCCAGCAAAAUGUUAAUUUGCUGCUACCGAUAUAAACAAUACGAGUAGAUAUGACGAUUCAUAAGGAACUAUAAUUGAAUAAAAUAAAGUAAUGGUUUUCAUUGAAUUUGAAAUAAUGGCCAUUAUUUCAAAUAUAAAUCAUUAUAAAAUGAACGAUAGAAAAUGAAUAAUAGAAGCAGAAAUUAUUUCUUCCCUGCUUACAAGUGUCGUAUUCAUCAACAUCAGAUAUCUAUUUUGUGAGUAAAUAUCGAAAACGGAUAUUUCAACAGGUAAAGUUACAAGCGUAAAAGAAACAAAGUUUCGAUCAGUUGCAAUUAGCAUUUCUAAUAACGCUUCUGCGGUUAGAUCGGUACUCUCGUGUACAUUCAAAAACAACGAACCAAAUUAUGUCCCUUUCUGGUACAUUAUUUUGAUUACAGUACUAAUUCUCGAGAAAUUCCCUAGCGAUAUGUCGUACCAACAGCUAUCCCAUCGGGAAAUUUCUAUACUAAUAUUUAUGACCCAAGCCAUUAUUUCCGGACGACUCCACAAAAUUGUGUGCACAAAUCAAUUGCUACGUAAUUUAUGAUUUCGAAUGGAAUUAUGGACACGUGAAUUGUACA